ensembl:ncRNA C36F7.13 ncRNA
AAAUAUCUAAAGUAAGAGCACAAAAAAUUGUGUGAAGAAGGGGGAAACGGAGUCUCAUUUGCAUACAAAUCUAUUUUCACACUUGCUUCGCACUAUCUCGGGUUGGGAAAGCAAACGGAUUAGGAUUUAGUAAGGAAUGGAUGAAUAGAAUGAGUAGUAGUAAUAGUGAUUUCA